UCGAUUCCCAGCGUAGGAAUAUUUUGUCCGAUUACCGAAGUUAAGCAAUGUCGGGCCCGGUCAGUACUUGGGAGGGUGACCACCUGGGAACACCGGGUGCUGUAGGCU